AGAUCUCCUGUAAACUGCUUUCAACAAAUUUUGGAGACAAACAAUCUUUACAGGCCACAAACUUAUCAAUCACCCCUUGUAAAAUGUUCGGCGACUGAGAAAUUCUGCUCUUGGCAGAUGGUGCAGCGAUAUUCAACAAAGCGGUCACUAACUUACAAUGCUCUGAUCAAUGUAGAGGAGGCCACAUCGAAAGCACCAGAUGACUCCAGCAGAAUUGCAGGUGAACUGUUGCCUCUCUUGGGGCCCUAAAUGGAGGUGAGGGAGGAGGUGAAUGGGUAGGCAUAGCACUUGGGCCACCUGCAGGG